CCAUCAAUCAAUUAAAUAUAUGCCCAAAUCCCCUAAUGUUAGUUGAUUUAUAUAUAUAAACACUCUUCCUCUCCUCCAAAUUAAACACUUAUCAUGGAUGUUAAGAAAGGUGGGUCUUUAGUACAAAUGCAAGUGAAGUUGCAGAAGCAUAACGAAAAGGAGAUGGGCAUGAGAAAAGGUCCAUGGGCGGUUGGCGAGGACACCAUUCUGUUCAAUUACAUCGCCACACACGGUGGAGGUCACUGGAAUUCUGUGGCAAGAUGUGCAGGCAUGCAUGCAUCUUAAUUAUAAUUUAAUUUCUGCAUAUGCUAAGUAAUAAUAGUAUAUAUAUUAAUUAUGAGAUUUAUCAAUUACAGGUCUAAGGAGGAGUGGGAAGAGUUAUAGAUUAAGGUGGCUAAACUACUUGCGCCCCGACGUGUGGCAUGGAAAUGUCACACUCCAAGAACAAAUAUUAAUUCUCGACUUUCACUGUCGCAGGGGCAACAUGUAUGGUGGUCAAACAUGUCAACAGCUGCUAGGAAGAACAGACAACAAAAUAAAGAACUAUUGGAGAAUUGAGUGAUAAAACAAGCGAAGCAGCUAAAGUGCAAUGUGAAUAGCAAACAGUUCAGAGACACGUUGUGUUACGUGUGGAUGCCGCGCUUGCUGGAGCGACUUUAGCCCACAUCACAGACUGCACAUGAGGAAUUUAAAGAUGUCUUUCCCAAGGAGAUUCCUCAUGGAUUGCCACCUUCAAGAGGCAUGGAACAUCAAACUGACCUCCUUCCAGGAGCUUCAUUGCCUAAUAGGCCAACUUACAAAAGUAAUCCCCAAGAGACUCAGCAUAAGGAUGCACAUACUAAAUUUGAGUAUGUGAAAAGAUUGCAUGAGCAGGUGAAGGUUCAAAUUACAAAGAAGAAUGAAAGCUAUGCUAGACAAGCAAACAAGAACAUGAAGGAAGUGGUACUUGAACCAGGUGAUUGGAUUUGGGUACACAUGAGGAAGGAGAGAUUUCCUAAACAAAGGAAGUUCAAACUUCAACCUAGAGGAGACUGACCUUUCCAAGCACUAGAGAGGAUCAAUGACAAUGCUUACAAGAUCGAUAUUCCUGGUGAUGAUUUUGAACAUUUGAGGGAAGAUGCUUUCCAAGAAGGAGGGAAUGAUGAGAAUCCUAAAACUGCCCAAAUACAAGGACCUAUGAUCAGGAGUAGGACCAAACAGUCAGUAGAUACCCUCCAACAAAUGGUAGCAGUCAUACUUAACAAGGCCCAGGUGGAGAAAAAUGAAGGCCUAGAGGCAGAGACACUGCUAAGAAUAUUAAUCAUUGCUGAAGGCCCAAACUAAUUUAAAGACCCAUACCAAAUAUGUUCUUUUUUUAUUUAUAAUUUUUUCAUUGUCAUUUUGGUCCAAACUGUUUUAAAGACCCAUGUCUAUUUCUAUCUUUUCGUUCAGAUACUCUA